CGCACCUUGCGCCCUUUGGUACUCCGAAGGGCACGCCUGUUUGAGUGUCGUGAACUUCUCAACUCUUUCUUUCUUUACGGAAAGACUGAGCUUGGAUGUGGAGGCUUGCUGGUUCCCUUUUUGUGGAUGCAGCUCCUCUUGAAUGCAUUAGUGAGACCCUGUGCGGCCUUGGUGUGAUAAUUGUCUACGCCAUGGGCUUAGCUCUUGUGGGACUUGCUUCCAACUGUCUUUGUAUAGAGACGCUUUAUUAAAACUUGACCUCAAAUCAGGUGGGACUACCCGCUGAACUUAA
rnacentral:misc_RNA from 1 species